rnacentral:lncRNA from 1 species
GUGCUGUUAAAGCCUGAAAAUCGUUCUGAAUGAAAGUUUGUAUGAAAUGAUAUUCAGGGGUAUGCUUUUGACAGACAUGUACAACUUGUUUCAGUUCUUUCAAAGGAAUACCACAACUACUGCAUAACACACAUAUAUCCUCAUAACCAAACUUCAGGUCAUCGAAAUCGAAAUAUGACUUAGAAACAUAAUGUCAACUUAAAAAAAUCCUGUGUCACUGCUCUCAUAUAUAAUUGACUGUUUUUAAUCUUGACAAUAGUUUAGAAAGACAUCUUCCACGUAAAUUUCUUAACUAUUGAGAGAACAAACAAUACAGGAACCUUGAUUGUCAUUUGUUGAUGUGGUUCAUAAGUGUAUC